CUGAAUUGUCAACACGAGUUGUUGCUGGCCCCUCAAACGGGGGCAUGUGCACGCUCUGUUUGCAUCCACUCACACCUGUGCACCUUCUGUAGUUCUAUGGUUGGGGAGGCAAAUGUCUCCCCUCCUGUGGUUCUACGUCUUUACACACACACUGUAACGUAGUCUUAUGGAAUGCAUGCAGCGUUUAACGCAAUACAAUA
rnacentral:misc_RNA from 1 species